UUCAUGGAGAAAAUAUCAAAUUCAAUUGAUUAAUCAAAGGGGACAUUCUUUGAUGGAAGGGAAUCUUUUCAAACUUUAUUAAAAAUAUUGAAUAAACCAUGAGCAAUCAAAGUUCAUAAUCUGAACUCCUGCUCUGCUUUCUUGGAUACAGUAAGCCUUCAAAAUAACUCAUAAAGCGGGAGAUGAGAUGUCUGUAAUAAAAUACAUAUAUAAAAAUAUAAGAAAAAAGGCAACUCAGAGGAGCGUAUUCCAAAACCUUUAUCUUGAUCUGGAUCUCAGCUACACCAUUGUGCUUCCUCUGCUUAUACUGGAGUCACUGUAUUUCCACUAUAGAGGCUGAUAAUAAGAUUUGAGCCUUGAACCUUUUUUCACUGAGUAAUUAGUAGCAUGCUUGCACCCUCUGUCUUUUCAUGGAGGGUUUUCCCCUUAUUCUAAAAGAAGAAAUCAGAUUGCUAUCAAAGCUGCCUAGUGAUGAAAGAUAAUCUAGGUAUAUGACCUGCAGGCUGAAUGACUGUCCUCUCUGUUUCAUGUUCCAGGAAGGAAAGCGAUCAUAUGGCCAAAUGCAGGAUGGCUGGUGGGAAUAAAGACAAGUGAAAUGGAAAUUCCCAGAGCUGAGGAGAAAUCAGAACUCAAACAGGUGGGACUACUACCUGCCCAGUACACAGUUUAGUACAAGAAACAGCACAAUGACUUCCAUGCUGUGCAUGGCUUGGAACAAAUCAGUCCUUCUGGUCAGGAGCAGGGGAGAGAGCUGGAGUGAAGAAAUGCCAUCCAGUGUCUCAGAAAAGUACCCGGGGCUGUGCAGUGAGGACCAGCAUGAAGGUGUAGGGGCUGGAAAUCCCUCCUGGUUUCCUGACACCCUUUCUCUACGAUGCAAAAGGGACAAAUCUUGAAAUUCUUCAUAAAACUCCAGUGGAGGUAAUGGAGAGUUUUUAAUCUAGAAGGAUUAAGACAUGGGGAUUCAAUGUCUGGUUCAUAGAGGUGAGAUGAACUUCUAUCUUGCUUGUUUCUUCUGUCGUGGCUUGGUGGAAGGAAAGCAUCCUGAGCAGUCUUCAUACUUGAUGGGAGGAGACUGUGUGACAUGUAAACAAAUAUUGGAAUUCAUUUCUUGCUGAUCACAGUCUCCUCUUCUGAGACAAAAACUCCAGGAUCCUGGAGAAUAAAAGCCAUCUGACAACAUUCAUGGUGCACCUCAAGGGCCUGGUUCCCCUUCCCACCACACUUGUCUGUUCAUAAACUGGGCACUCAUAGGCUGUGUACAGCUUCUCAACACUUCUUGGGAU